rnacentral:rRNA from 1 species
UCGGGAAUAUUGCACAAUGGAGGGAACUCUGAUGCAGUGACGCCGCGUGCAGGAAGAAGGUUUUCGGAUUGUAAACUGCUUUAGAUGGGGAAGAUAAAAGACUGUAACCAUAGAAUAAGCUCCGGCUAACUACGUGCCAGCAGCCGCGGUAAUACGUAGGGAGCAAGCGUUAUCCGGAUUUAUUGGGUGUAAAGGGUGCGUAGACGGGAAUUUAAGUUAGUUGUGAAAUCCCUCGGCUUAACUGAGGAACUGCAACUAAAACUGAAUUUCUUGAGUGCGGGAGAGGAAAGUGGAAUUCCUAGUGUAGCGGUGAAAUGCGUAGAUAUUAGGAGGAACACCAGUGGCGAAGGCGACUUUCUGGACCGUAACUGACGUUGAGGCACGAAAGUGUGGGGAGCAAACAGG